AUUUAUUUAUAUUUAUAACCUAAAUCGUAUAAAACAACAGCAUCGUUAACUAAUCCAUCACUUUAUGAAAAUAAAAUAAUUUUUAGCGUAUACUUCCCGGGACGUAAAUAUGAGGAAAUAAAGGGGUGAAGGGCUCACGUAGUAAAUCCAAGGCGAAGAAUGAACGACAAAUGAGGACACAGUAAAAGCAUGAAUUUGACGGUUUGUACAA